rnacentral:rRNA from 1 species
CGGGGGGCACACGUAACACACACAAAUCUGGCGGUAGCACACAGAAACCUGCUCCUUGGGUGACGAGUGGCGGACGGGUGAGUAAUGUCUGGGGAUCUGCCCGAUAGAGGGGGAUAACCACUGGAAACGGUGGCUAAUACCGCAUAACGUCGCAAGACCAAAGAGGGGGACCUUCGGGCCUCUCACUAUCGGAUGAACCCAGAUGGGAUUAGCUAGUAGGCGGGGUAAUGGCCCACCUAGGCGACGAUCCCUAGCUGGUCUGAGAGGAUGACCAGCCACACUGGAACUGAGACACGGUCCCACG